GAUGAACGCUGGCGGCGUGCCUAAUACAUGCAAGUCGAGCGAACAGACGAGGAGCUUGCUCCUCUGACGUUAGCGGCGGACGGGUGAGUAACACGUGGAUAACCUACCUAUAAGACUGGGAUAACUUCGGGAAACCGGAGCUAAUACCGGAUAAUAUAUUGAACCGCAUGGUUCAAUAGUGAAAGACGGUGUUGCUGUCACUUAUAGAUGGAUCCGCGCCGCAUUAGCUAGUUGGUAAGGUAACGGCUUACCAAGGCAACGAUGCGUAGCCGACCUGAGAGGGUGAUCGGCGACACUGGAACUGGGACACGGUCCAGACUCCUACGGGAGGCAGCAGUAGGGAAUCUUCCGCAAUGGGCGAGAGCCUGACGGAGCAACGCCGCGUGAGUGAUGAAGGUCUUCGGAUCGUAAAACUCUGUUAUUAGGGAAGAACAAAUGUGUAAGUAACUAUGCACGUCUUGACGGUACCUAAUCAGAAAGCAACGGCUAACUACGUG
rnacentral:rRNA from 1 species